UUCGCCCUUAGAGUUUGAUCCUGGCUCAGGAUGAACGCUGGCGGCGUGCCUAACACAUGCAAGUCGAACGGAGUCCCUUUGAAAAAUCCUUCGGGAUUGGAAUUCUCUACUUAAUGGCGGACGGGUGAAUAACCCCUGAACGAUCUGCCUUUAAAAGGGGGAUAACCGCCGCAAACGGCUGCUAAUACCCCAUAAAGCAUUGAAUUCCCAUGUUUUCUAUGCCAAAGGAACAAUCCGCUUUUAGAUGACCUCGCGUCUGAUUAGCUAGUUGGUGGGGUAACGGCCCAUCAAGGCGACGAUCAGUAGCCGGACUGAGAGGUUGAACGGCCACAUUGGGACUGAGACACGGCCCAGACUCCUACGGGAGGCAGCAGUGGGGAAUAUUGCGCAAUGGGGGAAACCCUGACGCAGCAACGCCGCGUGAUUGAAGAAGGCCUUCGGGUUGUAAAGAUCUUUAAUCAGGGACGAAACAUGACGGUACCUGAAGAAUAAGCUCCGGCUAAAUACGUGUCAGCAGCCGCGGUAAUACGUAGGGAGCAAGCGUUAUCCGGAUUUACUGGGUGUAAAGGGCGCGCAGGCGGGCCGGCAAGUUGGAAGUGAAAUCCGGGGGCUUAACCCCCGAACUGCUUUCAAAACUGCUCGGUCUUGAGGUGACGGAGAGGCAGACGGAAUUUCGUGUGUAGCGGUGAAAUGGGUAGAUAUAUGGAGGAACCCCCGUGGGGAAGGCGGCCUGCUGGACAUUAACUGACGGUGAGGCGUGAAAGCGUGGGGAGCAAACAGGAUUAGAUACCCUGGUAGUUCCCGCCGUAAACGAUGGAUACUAUGUGUGGGAGGUAUUGACCCCUUCCGCACCACACUCAACACAAUAUGUAUCCCGCGUGGGGAGUACGGCGGCAAGGUCGAAACUCAAAGGAAGUGACGGGGCCCCGCACAAGCAGCGGAGUAUGUGGUUUAAUUCGAAGCAACGAGCAGAACCUUAUCAGGCCUUGUCAUCCCGAUGCCCGGUAUAGAGAUAGUCCUUCUCUUCGGAGCAUCCGUGACAGGCGGUGCAUGGUUGUGGUCAGCUCGUGUCGUGAGAUGUUGGGUUAAGUCCCGCAACGAGCGCAACCCUUUCGGUUAGUUGAUUCGCACGAUCCCUUUAGCCGGACUGCCCUUGACAAACCGGAGGAAGGGGGGGGAGACGUCAAAUUAUCCUGCCCCUUAUGGCGCGGGGUACCCCCGUAGUUCAAUGGCAGUCAUCCAGAGGGAAGCAAAAUCGGGAGGUGGAGCAAUUCCCUAAAAGCUGUCCCAGUUCAGAUUGCAGUCUGCAACCCGCCUGCAUGAAGUCGGAAUUGCUAGUAAUCGCGGAUCAGCAUGCCGCGGUGAAUACGUUCCCGGGCCUUGCACUCACCGCCC
rnacentral:rRNA from 1 species